rnacentral:rRNA from 1 species
CCUACGGGCGGCAGCAGUGGGGAAUAUUGGGCAAUGGGCGCAAGCCUGACCCAGCAACGCCGCGUGAAGGAAGAAGGCUUUCGGGUUGUAAACUUCUUUUGUCAGGGACGAAGCAAGUGACGGUACCUGACGAAUAAGCCACGGCUAACUACGUGCCAGCAGCCGCGGUAAUACGUAGGUGGCAAGCGUUAUCCGGAUUUACUGGGUGGAAAGGGCGUGGAGGCGGGACUGCAAGUCAGAUGUGAAAACCACGGGCGCAACCUGUGGCCUGCAUUUGAAACUGUAGUUCUUGUGUACUGGAGAGGCAGACGGAAUUCCUAGUGUAGCGGUGAAAUGCGGAGAUAUUAGGAGGAACACCAGUGGCGAAGGCGGUCUGCUGGACAGCAACUGACGCUGAGGCGCGAAAGCGUGGGGAGCAAACAGGAUUAGAUACCCUAGUAGUC